rnacentral:sRNA from 13 species
GCGAUUUUUGAUGUUGCCAUUCAUAUUACAAGUUAUUUGGGAUUAGAAUUAG